GGGACUUCCGGUUUCCUGUGCGCUGCUCUGCUCUUCCGGGCAUGGCGCUACUCUGCUGUCCGGUGGUGGAUGUAGGCGUGAGGACGCUUGUCUCACGAAGCUCGUAGUAGGUAUGGGGUCCUCGCCUCAUCCUCGAGAAGCGAUCGCGCGGUAGAUGUAAAAUGUGACCAAUGCGUAAAGGAGAAGGGCACGGCGCUGCGAAAGUUUAGGGCCGAGGAGAUGGCUCCCCGGGCCAAGGCGCUGGCCGCGGAGCCUCAACAUCGUGGGUUCGAUCCUGGGACCCACUUGGAGAGAUCCGACUUCCUCAACACGUCCCCUGACUUCACUACGAUCUCAGUCGUGUACGCGCCACCCACAUUCAAAACCGCAAAGGACAGACUUAGAAUACAAGCCGAAUACUGAUGGAUGAAAAGUGGGAAUUGUUCAGGGAGUAACGUCCUUUGUGAAGAAAGAGCCAGUGAAGAGGGAUAGUGGGAAGAAAAAAAAAUUCAAAUAUGGGGAAGGGGUAUGGAAACGUGAAGACUGGAGAAUUGGCGCAACCUGGUUGCAUCUUCCCGUUACUCCCACGUGUUUUUCUUUUGAUGGUUUGUUUUCCGACCUGUGUGUUAAUGAUGUAUGUUGUUUCCUUUUAAAAAUCUAAGCGCUCUCAGGGCAGAACUAUAUUGUUUAAUUAUGAUUACAGUAAUUUGACAACAGGUAUAGUGACUCAGGCCUGUAAUCUCAGUCACUUCCUUUUAAGGCAAGAGGAUCACAAGAUUGAGCCCAGCCUGAGUAACUUAGUGUGGUCAUCUCAAAAUACAAGAGAGCUGGGGAUACAGCACAGCCAGUGGUCGAGGGCUUGCUCCUAGGACAUGCUAGGCUUUUCCUCAGUAUUGGAAGAAAGUCACUUUGCUGUACAGAGAAAAUUGAAGGGUGUAAAAAGCGGCAGGGGAGAGCCCGCUGCUGGAAGAGCCCAGGCAAGAGAGGAUAGAGUGUUUUAUUCUGGUUCUUUGGAGAGGGUCUUACUAAGCAGCCCUGAACUCGUGCUUCACUCUCUUUGGUGAUGGGACUGCAGUGCAGGGCAUCUCAUCCCUACCACCAUAGUGGAGUUUCAGAGAUAGCUUACAACCUGAUGCAAGUCGCUGUGCGUACAUCUAUUUCCUUAGUAUUUUCUCUUGCUGCUUCUUCUUUUAUUAUUUAUUUAUUUUGCAAUUUAGAAUUUGACUUUUGUGCUAGGUCUUGAUCAUUGAUAUUUUGCCCAAUAAAUACUUGUUAAAUGAAUGAAGUUGGAUGAUGUCAGUGAAGAUAUGGGUCAAUUUUAUUUUAUUUUUUAAUAUGUGUGUACAUCUAUUUAUAUGGCUACACCUAGGCAUGCAUGCAGUCACAGGACUAUUUGCAGUAGUCAAAUUUUGUCUUUAAACUGUGUGGGUUCUGGGGAUUGACUUCAGGGCAUCAGGCUUGGUGGCAAGCACCCUUUACCUGCUGAGCCAUUUCGCCAGCCCAAGAUGUAGAUGCAUUUUCGGGUCUUGCUUGGUGUGCUGUUGCAUGACUUUGAUCACAGCACUAGAUCUCUGUCAGUUUGAAGUCAGCCAGAUCUAUGUAUUAAAUUCUAGUCCAGCCAGAGCUACUUUUUAUUUUUUCCUUAGAUGGGGUUUCCCUGUGUGGUCCUGGCUGUCCUCAAACUUAGAGAUCUUUCUACCUCUCUGCCUCCCAAGUGCUGGGGUUAAUGUGACCUUUGUUUCUGGAAAAAAAAAUAGGGGACUUGGAUGAACGGGUAUCUGAAUGAGAAGAUGGACUAGUGUUUGAGUUUAAUUUUUUAAAAAGGAAUGGGACAUGCCCCUUCAGCACCCUAAAUCCUCACCAAAAUAAAGCUUACUGUUACCAAAAAAAAAAAAAAAAAAAAA
rnacentral:lncRNA from 1 species